GAUGAACGCUAGCGGGAGGCUUAACACAUGCAAGUCGAGGGGCAGCAUAAGGUAGCAAUACUUUGAUGGCGACCGGCGCACGGGUGAGUAACGCGUAUGUAACCUGUCCUUAACAGGAGGAUAACCCGGAGAAAUUCGGACUAAUACUGCAUAAAAUUAUAAAUAGGCAUCUAUUAAUAAUUAAAGCUACGGCGGUUAGGGAGGGGCAUGCGUAACAUUAGCUGGUUGGUAGGGUAACGGCCUACCAAGGCAAUGAUGUUUAGGGGACCUGAGAGGGUGACCCCCCACACUGGUACUGAGACACGGACCAGACUCCUACGGGAGGCAGCAGUGAGGAAUAUUGGUCAAUGGGCGGCAGCCUGAACCAGCCAUCCCGCGUGAAGGAAGAAUGCGCUAUGCGUUGUAAACUUCUUUUUCAGGGGGAUAAAAUUCUGUAUGUAUACAGGACUGAAGGUACCCUGAGAAUAAGCAUCGGCUAACUCCGUGCCAGCAGCCGCGGUAAACUGU
rnacentral:rRNA from 1 species